GUCCGGAUGACGAGUCUCAAAUAGGACGAAACGCGCGUCCCGGAU
rnacentral:hammerhead_ribozyme from 1 species